rnacentral:tRNA from 1 species
CGCGGGAUGGAGCAGUCUGGUAGCUCGUCGGGCUCAUAACCCGAAGGUCGUUGGUUCAAAUCCGACUCCCGCAACCA